UCCGCUCACCACACGAAACGCCAUUCAGACUAGAGCACAAUAAGUAGGAUGUCUACGCAUUCCUGCUGGACAGAAGAGUGACUAUACUGGCCCAGAGCAGCAAGUGUUGUGCUGUCUAAACAAAACACCCUUAAGGACCAAGCACUGGUCAGGGCUGUUGGCUGGAAAGGAUCUGAUUAUAGCCUGAAGGAGCAAGGAUUCUGCUCGCCAUGCAAAACGGCGUUCGGACUCGACCAAAGGAACUAAAAUGUUACUCAGGCCCGUUUGCUGGCAGUGUGCUGAUUUUGGUCCAAAGCAGCAACUGUUCUGAACACUUGACAAAACGGCCUUCAGAGCCAACCACUACUCCGGUCUAUUGUCCGGGAAGAAGCUAAUUUCAUCCCAGUGCAGGAAGCAUUCCACUCACCAGGCGAGAUGGUGUUCAGACUCGACAACAGGAAGUAGGAUGUCUACUCAAGCCUGCUGGCUGGAGGGUGAAUAUGUUGGUCCAGGGCAGCAGGUAUUCUGCUCGCUAACAAAACACCCUUCACGGCCAAGUACUACUCAGACCUGUUGACUAGAAAGGAGCUGAAUUUGGCGCAGAGUAGCAAGCAUUCUGCUCACUAGAUAAAACUCGAGCGCAAGAGAUGGGACUGCCUACUUGGCGGUGAGGAGCAUUUUGGUCCAAAACAGCAACUACCCUCCUGGCGAGACAAAUUGGCCUUCGGUGUCUAGUACUACUCAGAAAUGUUGACCGGGAAGGAGCUAAUUUUACCUUGGAGAAAUCAGCAUUCGGCACAUCCUGCAGAACGGCC